UCUUAAUGCCGAGAGCUGAUGACGAGCUUUCUUUUAGAAAGCGAAGUGGUUGAUGCCAUGCUUCCAGGAAAAGCCUCUAAGCUUCAGGUAACUAGGAACCGUACCCCAAACCGACACAGGUGGUUGGGUAGAGAAUACCAAGGCGCUUGAGAGAACUCGGGUGAAGGAACUAGGCAAAAUGGCACCGUAACUUCGGGAGAAGGUGCGCCGGUGAGGGUGAAGUAUUUACUACGUAAGCCCAUGCCGGUCGAAGAUACCAGGCCGCUGCGACUGUUUAUUAAAAACACAGCACUCUGCAAACACGAAAGUGGACGUAUAGGGUGUGACGCCUGCCCGGUGCCGGAAGGUUAAUUGAUGGGGUUAGCGCAAGCGAAGCUCUUGAUCGAAGCCCCGGUAAACGGCGGCCGUAACUAUAACGGUCCUAAGGUAGCGAAAUUCCUUGUCGGGUAAGUUCCGACCUGCACGAAUGGCGUAACGAUGGCGGCGCUGUCUCCACCCGAGACUCAGUGAAAUUGAAAUCGCUGUGAAGAUGCAGUGUAUCCGCGGCUAGACGGAAAGACCCCGUGAACCUUUACUAUAGCUUUGCACUGGACUUUGAGCUUGCUUGUGUAGGAUAGGUGGGAGGCUUUGAAGCGUGGACGCCAGUUCGCGUGGAGCCAUCCUUGAAAUACCACCCUGGCAACCUUGAGGUUCUAACUCUGGUCCGUUAUCCGGAUCGAGGACAGUGUAUGGUGGGUAGUUUGACUGGGGCGGUCUCCUCCUAAAGAGUAACGGAGGAGUACGAAGGUGCGCUCAGACCGGUCGGAAAUCGGUCGCAGAGUAUAAAGGCAAAAGCGCGCUUGACUGCGAGACAGACACGUCGAGCAGGUACGAAAGUAGGUCUUAGUGAUCCGGUGGUUCUGUAUGGAAGGGCCAUCGCUCAACGGAUAAAAGGUACUCCGGGGAUAACAGGCUGAUACCGCCCAAGAGUUCAUAUCGACGGCGGUGUUUGGCACCUCGAUGUCGGCUCAUCACAUCCUGGGGCUGAAGCCGGUCCCAAGGGUAUGGCUGUUCGCCAUUUAAAGUGGUACGCGAGCUGGGUUUAGAACGUCGUGAGACAGUUCGGUCCCUAUCUGCCGUGGACGUUUGAGAUUUGAGAGGGGCUGCUCCUAGUACGAGAGGACCGGAGUGGACGAACCUCUGGUGUUCCGGUUGUCACGCCAGUGGCAUUGCCGGGUAGCUACGUUCGGAAGAGAUAACCGCUGAAAGCAUCUAAGCGGGAAACUUGCCUCAAGAUGAGAUCUCACUGGAGCCUUGAGCUCCCUAAAGGGCCGUCGAAGACUACGACGUUGAUAGGUUGGGUGUGUAAGCGCUGUGAGGCGUUGAGCUAACCAAUACUAAUUGCCCGUGAGGCUUGACCAUAUAACACCCAAACAAUU
rnacentral:rRNA from 1 species